UAACGUCAGUGCAGGAACUGUUGAGUUUAAAACAAAACAAACGUAAUUUAUGAGUGUAACGUUAUUUUUUGCAGCUAGUUAGCCCCCAAGCUAGCUGAAAUCUUUAAACUGCAGCUUUCAAGAAAACUGCAUUGGAUGAAAAAGUACCAGAAAAUUGAACUUGUCAAAUGUGGACCAAGAUCUUUCCAUUCAAACUGACUCUCCAUUCAGAGGUGAUUAGUGGUUAUCUGCUUCUCUUCCAACCAGCCCCAGGGUCAGCCCAGUUUUCAGAAUAGAUGCAGCCAUCCCUGAGAAACAAAAUCCUAAGGAAGCUGAGGGGAGCGGGAGAAGCGCAGCUCAGAGUCCCGGGACAGUUUGGAAGAAGUUGGGCACUCCCGCGGGGAAGUGUUUUGAGGCACGGGGAGCCCGCCCCCUAAUUACAGGCUAUGGGCUCUUUGAAGACUCGCUAAGAGGCAAUAAAAACCGAGAGAUGGAGGAAGCUGGACGGAGAUUGGUGGAUAGAAAGAGGACAUCCCAUCUCCCCAAACGGAGA